UAGCCCUAAAUCUUGAUGACCCCAAACACAAACAUCCGCCUGAGAACUACGAGCACAAACGCUUAAAACUCUAAGGACUUGGCGGUGCUCUAAACCCACCUAGAGGAGCCUGUUCUAUAAUCGAUAACCCACGAUUCACCCGACCACCUCUUGCCAAAACAGCCUAUAUACCGCCGUCGCCAGCCCACCUCGUGAGAGCACAACAGUGAGCCCAACAGCCCACAGCCCACUAACAAGACAGGUCAAGGUAUAGCCUAUGAGGUGGAAGAAAUGGGCUACAUUUUCUAAAAUAGAAAACCCAACGAAAAGGGGCUUGAAACCUGCCCCCAGAAGGCGGAUUUAGCAGUAAAGUAGGA
rnacentral:rRNA from 1 species